rnacentral:rRNA from 1 species
AUUGAACGCUGGCGGCAGGCCUAACACAUGCAAGUCGAGCGGAUGAGAAGAGCUUGCUCUUCGAAUCAGCGGCGGACGGGUGAGUAAUGCCUAGGAAUCUGCCUGGUAGUGGGGGACAACGUUUCGAAAGGAACGCUAAUACCGCAUACGUCCUACGGGAGAAAGCAGGGGACCUUCGGGCCUUGCGCUAUCAGAUGAGCCUAGGUCGGAUUAGCUAGUUGGUGAGGUAAUGGCUCACCAAGGCGACGAUCCGUAACUGGUCUGAGAGGAUGAACAAUCACACUGGAACUGGGACACGGUCCAGACUCCUACGGGAGGCAGCAGUUGGGAAUAUUGGACCAUGGGCGAAAGCCUGAUCCAGCCAUGCCGCGUGUGUGAAGAAGGUCUUCGGAUUGUAAAGCACUUUAAGUUGGGAGGAAGGGCAGUAAGCUAAUACCUUGCUGUUUUGACGUUACCGACAAAAUAAGCACCGGCUAACUCUGUGCCAGCCGCCGCGGUAAAAC